rnacentral:rRNA from 1 species
AGUGAACGCUGGCGGUAGGCCUAACACAUGCAAGUCGAACGGCAGCACAGGAGAGCUUGCUCUCUGGGUGGCGAGUGGCGGACGGGUGAGGAAUACAUCGGAAUCUACUCUGUCGAGGGGGAUAACGUAGGGAAACUUACGCUAAUACCGCAUACGACCUACGGGUGAAAGCAGGGGACCUUCGGUCCUUGCGCGAUUGAAUGAGCCGAUGUCGGAUUAGCUAGUUGGCGGGGUAAAGGCCCACCAAGGAGACGAUCCGUAGCUGGUCUGAGAGGAUGAUCAGCCACACUGGAACUGAGACACGGUCCAGACUCCUACGGGAGGCAGCAGUGGGGAAUAUUGGACAAUGGGCGCAAGCCUGAUCCAGCCAUACCGCGUGGGUGAAGAAGGCCUUCGGGUUGUAAAGCCCUUUUGUUGGGAAAGAAAUCCAGCUGGCUAAUACCCGGUUGGGAUGACGGUACCCAAAGAAUAAGCACCAGCUAACUUCGUGCCAGCAGCCGCGGUAA